UGUGACUUGUUUAUAGUUUCUAAAAUUUUAUUGGUUUCAUUGAAAUUGAAAACAUAAGCGUUGAUUACUAUAAUUCUAGCUAUAGGUUGUGGGUAACCAUUACCACCCUAUUUAACAAACUUCUCAACUUAACCAAAAUUUACGAAUAGCAGCGGAAAGACUUUUUUUUCAAAAGUAGGCUCAGUUGUGGUCUUUAUCUUUAGCUUGUAGGUUAUACUUGGUGCAAAAAGCCUAAUUCAGGUUGGGGGGGGGGGCACACGCCCCUCUCACAAGUCAAUAAGCACACCACCAAUAAAUGAAUUUCUUGUAGCAAA
rnacentral:lncRNA from 1 species